GGGCCCCAUGACCACUGCAGUCAAUGUCUCUUUGAUUCCCUGGUACACAAGGGUGGAUAAUGGGCAUCCAAAGAAAUCCAAAGUUCUGACCCCUUCAUUCUGCUAGUGUGACCCUGUUUGGGAAAUGGAUCUUGCAGAUGUAAUUAAGUUAAGGAUCACAUGAGGGUGGUCUAAGGGGACCUUCGUUGACAUCACAAGGGCUCGGGUAGAAGACAGGCAAACACCCAGAGGGGCAUGUGACCACAAAGGCAGAUAUUGAAAAAAGUGGGGAUGUGGUUUCAAGCCAGGGAAAGCCAAGAGCCACCCAAAGCUGAUGAGGGUCUCUUUCAGAGCCUUUGGGCCACACCCCAGCAUUCUUGCACUAUGUGGCGAGAUCUUCAGCAGUAAUGAUCUCCAAGCAAAGGGCCAAAGACUCAGGCUGGCCAGAGAAUAACACUCACCAGGAUCUCCUGUGAUGACAGAAUGGUGGACAUAGGAGAAAGUAGCAGCCAGCCCUGGAUAAAGCAAGCACCUCCCCCCAGACCAGGAAACACGAGAAACGGCCUCUCUGAGCCUGGAGGGAUUCUGCCCGUGAGGUACCGUCUCCAAAACGUUCCUCUGAGCUUGCAGGACCCCUGCUCAUUCCCGCCAGUGCUUUCUUGCCCACCUUUCCAGGCCUUUUGGGAGGAACAGCGACUCCCGAUGGUCGUGUUCCACAUUGCACCCAGCGUCGCCCAGCCGGAACAGGAGGGCUAUGUACAAGCUCACAGUACACGCGUCCACACUUCAACGUGGGGUUUCCCAGAGCCGCGGGUGCAGCUGGAGUUAGUUAGACUCCACACCUCCUGUUGGCCUCCACCCCAGAUGCUGCUGCACCAGGACCUUCCAGCUGAGGUUCAGAAACCUUAGGAGAAGGUCCCUUCACCCUUUACAGGGCUAGAUAGCAGAGCAAUGGACACAGGACUCUGGUCUCCGGGAUGAUCUCUAGCUUUGUCCCCUACCCCCAAACCAGGAGGAAGGAGCCUUGGAAAUUCUAGCCCAUUUAUUCUAAUGCUUUGAUUUUUUUAUUGAAACUUUAGAUUC
rnacentral:lncRNA from 1 species